GGAAUAGGCAACCUUGGGCACUCCAGCAGUAGGGUGAAAUUAGUCAACAUCUGGAGUGUCAAAGGCUGCCUACCCUUGUAUUAAGAUCUAAAUUAAUCAAGUGUGUGAGGGUAUGAGUGUGAAUGGCUGUAUAAAAUGUAAGUUUGUGCAUGUUGUGAUAAUGUGCAUGGAAUAGACAGUGACAGUAUUUCUAUUUCAUCUCUUGUUUUGAAAGAUGCGUAUA